GUUGCUUGAUAAAAAAAGUACUAAAUUAUUGUGAUUUGUGAUAUGGGAACAGGUUUGUACUUGUACUUGAUAUAUAUGGUAGUUUUCCAAUUAGAGUUAGGUUAAGGAUUGAAGCUUAUAACUACUACCUUCUGAGUUGGAAAUGGAUUUCCUGACCGCAGAUUAAUCUAAGCUAUCCAAUUUUGUUAGUAUAUAUUAUUUAUUUAAUUAAAAUUUAAUUUAAGUGUUCUAAUGUAAUGACUGCAGGAUUCUUUGACUGUAUGGAAUCCAGGUCUCUUGUAAGUUAGGCCUCCAUAGACAUAUCUUCCUCACAAAUGCAUGACCAUGAUCAGGGUUUAAGUUUUAGCAAGAUAUGUUAAUUUUUCUUUCUUUCUAAUUAAUUAAUUAAUUAAUUAAUAAUGCUAUUUUUUGUUGGUAUUCAAAUCAAGUGAUCAGGUACUAUUCAAAGUAUGCAUCACAUCACAUGAGAUGGAGUUUGAGAGAAGCAAAAGAAACAAAGAGCAGGGUUUCAUCCAUAGUAACCUUAUCUCGGGUCUCGUCCUUAAUUUCUGAGUAACAAGUUCCUAGACUUAAUUUCAUGUCUCCCACACCACCGCUAGUUAGCUGCACUUACCAAUAUUAUACUACUAUCCUCCAUCUGUUGUCUUUGCCCCUUGUAAAUUGCAAAUUCAAACUUUGUGUGUAUAUUUUAUUUUGACUAAAUAUUGUGUGUAUUACACUAAAUGUUCCUAUUCGAUUCAAUAAAUUGUAAAAUAGAUUACAGUAAAUUUUUGUGCGAUU
rnacentral:lncRNA from 1 species